rnacentral:rRNA from 1 species
UAGGGAAUCUUCGGCAAUGGACGGAAGUCUGACCGAGCAACGCCGCGUGAGUGAAGAAGGUUUUCGGAUCGUAAAGCUCUGUUGUUAGAGAAGAACGUUGGCAGGAGUGGAAAAUCUACCAAGUGACGGUAACUAACCAGAAAGGGACGGCUAACUACGUGCCAGCAGCCGCGGUAAUACGUAGGUCCCGAGCGUUGUCCGGAUUUAUUGGGCGUAAAGCGAGCGCAGGCGGUUCUUUAAGUCUGAAGUUAAAGGCAGUGGCUUAACCAUUGUACGCUUUGGAAACUGGAGGACUUGAGUGCAGAAGGGGAGAGUGGAAUUCCAUGUGUAGCGGUGAAAUGCGUGAAUAUAUGGAGGAACACCGGUGGCGAAAGCGGCUCUCUGGUCUGUAGCUGACGCUGAGGCUCGAAAGCGUGGGGAGCAAACAGG